UGAGUGGUCGUGGGCACCUGCGGUACCGAGAAGUGCCUUCCCGAAAGUCGUUCCUCAGGAGACGCGGGCACUUGCUGGCACAUACGGUGCUGCUAGAUGUGAAAAACCCUCAGGAAGAGACACGUGUAAAGUUUGUUAUGCCAACUUGACAAGCAAAUUCUAAAAUUUUUAUGGAAACGCAAGUGCCAAGAAUAGCAAAAAACACUCCUGAAGAAGAACAAUGUGGAAGGACCUGUUCUUCUGGAUAUCAGAUUAAGACAGAAGCUAAUAUGAUAAAUGGUAAAAUUCUAAAGACUAUAACAAUAAAGAAAAGUUAACUUUUUUAUGGAAGAGGGAAUUAGGAUCAGCUGAGGUGAAAAAGUGAGGACUUCCGGGUGCUGACAACAUUCUUUUUCUUGACUUGAAUACCUAGGGAUUCACUUUAUGAUUAUUCAUUAAACUGUACAAUUGCAUUUA